rnacentral:rRNA from 1 species
UACGUAGGGGGCAAGCGUUGUCCAGAUUCAUUGGGCGUAAAGAGCGUGUAGGCGGCCAGGUAGGUCGGUUGUGAAAACUGGAGGCUCAACCUUCAGAGGUCGACCGAAACCAUCUGGCUAGAGUCCGGGAGAGGAGAGUGGAAUUCCUGGUGUAGCGGUGAAAUGCGCAGAUAUCAGGAAGAACACCCGUGGCGAAAGCGGCUCUCUGGAACGGUACUGACGCUGAGACGCGAAAGCGUGGGGAGCAAACAGG